ensembl:snRNA U6 U6 spliceosomal RNA
ACCUGUUUCCACAGCUCAUAUACUAAGAGUAGAAUAAUACAGAGAAGGAUUAGCAUGGCCCCUUCCCAAGGAUGACCCGCAACUUCAUGAAGCAUUUUGUAUUUUU